AUGCCAGAGGGGCCAUUGGGCUGACCCAGUCUCCAUCCUCCCUGUCUGUGUCUCCAGGAGAGACUGUCAGCCUGUCCUGCAGGGCCAGUCAGAGCAUUAGUAAUAAAAUACACUGGUACCAACAGCCCCCAGGCCAGGCUCCCAGGCUCCUCAUUUACAGGGCUUCCAGCCUGCAGUCUGGGGUUCCUGCCCGCUUCAGUGGCAGUGGCUCUGGGACAGAUUUCUCUCUGACCAUCCGUGGGGUGGAACCCGAGGACAUGGCAGUCAGCAGGAGCUUCGGCAUGAAGCCCUGCAGGGCUGGGGAAGAGCUACUUAGGGGUCCAG